UAAAACCGAGCAACGCAAAGCUUCGGACUUGCGGCAAUGUAGAGAUAAAAGUGUCAUGUAUUUUGUAUCCUUGUUGACUUUUUACAGUAAAAUAAUAUAGUAUUCAUAUAAAGACGAAUACUAAAAGCUUGCAUGCUUUAUUGUGUCCUGGGCUUGUCUGACUUCUAGGCUAAGAAAAGACUGAACAAAUUCGCAGACCGAAACCUAGGGACAAGGCAUUUAUAUAUCGCUUCUCUUUCAUGAAACAAUAUUGAGAAUUAUUCUGAUAAUAUUCAGUGCAUAUUGUUUGUAUUAAGCUUGUUUUACAAUGUUAUACUGACUAUUUAAUAUUUAUAAGUAUGCGGCGUUAAAAUGUACAGUAAUUUACUCGUCACUUUGUUUACAAUAAUUAUCACAUGCAUGUUUAAUACUGUAAUUCCACCUUUUGUUGCAAAAUUUGAACUAUAAACAUAUUAAAUUAUGUCCAAUGUCCAUGGUAUAUCAUAUUAUACUAUACUAUACUGGAUAUAUAUAUUUAUACAGUUA